GAUGAACGCUAGCGGCAGGCCUAAUACAUGCAAGUCGAACGGGAUCCAGAUCAAAGCUUGCUUUGGUUUGGUGAGAGUGGCGCACGGGUGCGUAACGCGUGAGCAACCUACCCUUGUCAGGGGGAUAGCCCGGCGAAAGUCGGAUUAAUACCGCAUGACAUCAUUGAGAGGCAUCUUUCGAUGAUCAAAGAUUUAUCGGACAAGGAUGGGCUCGCGUGACAUUAGCUAGUUGGUAAGGUAACGGCUUACCAAGGCUACGAUGUCUAGGGGCUCUGAGGGGAGAAUCCCCCACACUGGUACUGAGACACGGACCAGACUCCUACGGGAGGCAGCAGUAAGGAAUAUUGGUCAAUGGACGGAAGUCUGAACCAGCCAUGCCGCGUGCAGGAAGACGGCCCUAUGGGUUGUAAACUGCUUUUAUACGGGAACAAACGUCGGUACGUGUACCGGUCUGAGUGUACCGUAAGAAUAAGGAUCGGCUAACUCCGUG
rnacentral:rRNA from 1 species